GCUGUUGUGGUUCAGUGGUAGAGUCCUUGUUUGCUGCGCAAGAGACCAGGGUUUGAUUCCCUGGCA
rfam:Alligator mississippiensis ScZkoYb_555, whole genome shotgun sequence.